rnacentral:rRNA from 1 species
CGAACGGGUGAGUAACGCGUGAGGAACCUGCCUCAAAGAGGGGGACAACAGUUGGAAACGACUGCUAAUACCGCAUAAGCCCACGGCUCGGCAUCGAGCAGAGGGAAAAGGAACAAUCCGCUUUGAGAUGGCCUCGCGUCCGAUUAGCUAGUUGGUGAGGUAACGGCCCACCAAGGCGACGAUCAGUAGCCGACCUGAGAGGGUGACCGGCCACAUUGGGACUGAGACACGGCCCAA